rnacentral:lncRNA from 1 species
ACUAUUUAGCUUGUUUUCAAAAUUUGUUAAUCAAUGUAUUAUAUAUACUUUACAUGUUUUUAGGUAUCAGUUCACAGCAUAAAGAUUGCACAGUAAAUUGUUACAUGAAUAUGCCACAUUUUAUUUAGUAUAUUUCCUGUUAUUGGAUAUUUAUGUUAUUUAAAAAAUUUCCCCAUUUUCAAUAACCCAGUGAUAAAGUUUAUUUUUUACAUAUCUCUUAAUUGUUUUUCAGAAGACUCUUACCUCUUUUUCUCAUAUUUUUGUAACACUAUUAACCUUGAAGUAAUCACUAUUGUUUAUAAUUAUUUCCCAAAGAUGAAUAAGAGGCUUAUUAGGUGUGAAUAAUCUCUCCUCACAUCUAUGUCAUAUGCCAAGAUCAAUAAGGCAAAAUUACAUAUGUAAAGUGCUUGGAUUUAGUGUAUUACUGCUUUUUCUUAUAUCAAAAGAUUUGUUGUUCACAGAUGACAUAAUUAUCUACGUAAACAGUACAAAAGAACCGGCAAAAAACUAACUAGAACUAAUAAGUGAUCACAGCAAGGCUGCAGGAUACAAGGGUACUAUACAAGAGUCAAUCACUUUCCAAUAUACCAGCAAUGAAUAACUUGAAUUUGAAAUUAAAAACACAAUACUAUUUACAUUAGCACCACAAAAAAUGAAAUGCAUAGGUAGAAAUCUAACAAAAUAUGUACAGGAGCUAUAUGAGAAAACUUUGAUGAAAGAAAUCAAAGAAGAUCUAAAUAAAUGGAGAUAUAUUCCAUGUUCAUGGAUAGGAAAGCUCGGUAUCGUUAAGACAACAGUUCUUUCCAUCUUGAUUUAUAGAUUCAGUGAAAUCUCAAACAAAAUUCCAGCAAUAUAUUUUGCGGUUAUUGGAAAACUUACUGCAAGAUUUAUAUGGAGUUACAAAGGACUCUGAAUAGUAAAUAUAAUAUUGAAAUAGAAGAACAAAGUUGGAGGAUGGACACUACCUGACUUCAAGACUUACUAUAAAGCUAGAUUAAUCAAGACAGUAUAGUACUAAUGAAAAGGUUGACAAAUGGAUAGGUUGAACAGAACAGAUAGCACAGCAAUAUAUACACAUAAAGAAGCAAAGACACCAUGGUGGAAAAAAUGUAGUCUCUUCAAAAAAUAGUGGUAGAACAACUGGACAUUUAAUGAAAAUAUGAAUCUACACAUGGACCUUAUAUUCUUCACAACAAUUAACUCAAAAUGUAUCACAGUCCUAACUGUAAAACACAAGUUAUAAAGUUCUAAGAAGAUAAUAGGAGAAAACCUAGAUAACCUUGGGGUUGGUGGUGACAUUUUAGAUAUAACCUGAAAGUCAUGUUCCAUAAGCAAAAGAAUUGAUAAGCUGAACUUGGUUAAAAUAAAAAAAAAUCUUAUCUGUGAAAGACAUUGUCAAGAGGAUGAAAAGACAAGCCACAAACUGGGAGAAGAUAUUUGCAAAAGAUGUAACUGAUAAAGACUUGUUAUACAAAAUAUAUAAAGGGUUCUUAAAACUUGGGGGAAAAAAGCAAGCAAUCUAAAUAUGAAAUGUACCAAAGAUCUUAACAGACACCUAACCAAAGAAGAUAUGCAGAUGGAAAAUAUGUAUAUGAGAAGAUGCUUCACUUCAUAUGUUAUUAUGGAAACACAAAUUAAAACAUCAGUGGGUUUCCACUAUAUACCCAUAAGAGUGGCCAAAAUCCAGACUGCUAUCUAAAAUCAAAUGAAAUGUUGUUGAGGAUGUGGGCAACAGGAGUGCUCAUUCACUUCAGGUAGGAAACACAAAGUGGUGAGCCAUUUUGGAAAACAGUUGGACAGUUUCUUAAAAAAAUCUAACUUUAUUUUUCCACACAACCCAGAAGUCAUACUCCUUGGUGUUUGCUCAAAUGAGUAGAAAACAUGUCCACAUGAAAACCCGCACACAGGUGUAGUAAACCCUAAUGUAAACUACAGUCUUUGGGUGAUAUUGAUAUGUCAAUAUUGGCUCAUCAAUCAUAAGAAAUGUACAUACUCUGGCAUGGGAUGGUGACAAUGGGGGAAUCUAUGGACAUGUGGGGACAGAGGAUAUAUAGGAAUUCUCUGUAUCAUCUGCUCGAUUUUGCUGUGAACCUAAAGCUGGUCUAAAAAAAAA